GCCUGGCUGGUUCAGUUGGCAGAACAUGUGAUUCUUAAUCUUAGGGUCAUGAGUUCAAGCCCCACACUGGGCA
rfam:Canis lupus familiaris chromosome 1, whole genome shotgun sequence.